rnacentral:tRNA from 1 species
UCUCUCGUAGUUUAGUGGUCUCGUAGUAUUGGUGCGUAAAGCCAAAGGUUCCGUGUUCGAAUCCCGGCGAGGGUG